ACCCUCUCAAAGUGUUUAGCUCACGAUUUUUAGGUGAUCACUCAGAGUUCUUUCCACUGGUUCAAAGGAUGAUAGGCAGUCAAAAUUCAGCAAUCAAAACCCAAAACAAAAUUUUGCAGGAAAGGAAAAGAGAAAGAAAGCUGAAGAGAAUUUUGAUAUGGAUCUGCCUUAAUUGUCCUAAGGCUGGGUUUAUCUUCAGCCAGCAGGGUUUCUCUUCCACCACUUCCCCUCGAUUUCUCUUCAAAAGUGAUUCAAGCCAAAAUUUUCACUCUUUUUUUUUUUGAUCGAUUUUUUUUUCUCUUUUUUUUAAUAACUGGCGAUCACAAGAGAGUAAAGGAACAGCCCGGAUCCAACAAGAAAUAAUAAAAUAAAAUCAGGGAGAGAUGAGAAGAUGAAAAUAUGAAAUGAAAACAAACCAGCCAAAGUGGCUCUGAUACCACUUGAUACGCCCUAAAUCGGGAAGGAUCACUUUAGCUGGGUGUUGGAUAUGAUCCGAGAAGGCAACGACACUUCUGGAACUGAUAUGGAUUGAAAGGUUCGUCAAGAGAUGCGGAAUGGCUCUUGAUAUACCCACUAUCUAAGGCUAGGCCCCUAAGAAAGAAUGAAUGUGUUGGCUAACCACCAAACAACACACAAUGAUGAAUUGGCUGACCACCAAAUGAACAAGCCGGUUCACACCAAUGAACUAGCUAAAGAACUCUCUCUAUCACUCAGAGAAAAGAAGAAACAAAAAUAUAACUCAAACUUAGACUGAUUUUAUUAUGAGAAAUGUUUACAUAUUUAUACUACUUGAGGAAUAGAAAAAGACUUAAGAAUGUAUUAAAGACAAACUUAGUAAAUCGAAU
rnacentral:lncRNA from 1 species